rnacentral:rRNA from 1 species
AAAAAAAAUAUCUUUGGUUGGGGCAACCACGAAGAAAAAGUAACCUUCGUUCUAAAAAAAAAUUUACAAAUAUAAAAUUUUUUAAAAAAGAUCCAGAAUUCUGAUCAAAGAAACAAGUUACCGCAGGGAUAACAGCGUUAUUCUCUUUGAGAGCCCGUAUUGACAAGAGAGUUUGCGACCUCGAUGUUGGACCGGGGCAUCCUAGAGGCGCAACAGCCUCUAAAGGUAGGUCUGUUCGACCAUUAAAGCCCUACGCGAUCUGAGUUCAGACCGACGAAAGUCAGGUCAGUUUCUAUCUA